rnacentral:rRNA from 1 species
GGAGGGUGCAAGCGUUAUCCGGAUUCACUGGGUUUAAAGGGUGCGUAGGUGGGCAGGUAAGUCAGUGGUGAAAUCUCCGGGCUUAACUCGGAAACUGCCAUUGAUACUAUCUGUCUUGAAUACCGUGGAGGUCAGCGGAAUAUGUCAUGUAGCGGUGAAAUGCUUAGAUAUGACAUAGAACACCAAUUGCGAAGGCAGCUGGCUACACGAAUAUUGACACUGAUGCACGAAAGCGUGGGGAUCAAACAGGAUUAGAUACCCUGGUAGUCCACGCCCUAAACGAUGGAUACUCGACAUACGCGAUACACUGUGUGUGUCUGAGCGAAAGCAUUAAGUAUCCCACCUGGGAAGUACGAUCGCAAG